CUGUGCCUGGUUACUCCACUUCCCUGUUGCAAUUAACAAUUCCCUAUGUACACUUUUCCUGUUCAAAUGACUGUGUGGCUUCUCUUUCCUAAUCGGACUCUGACCAAUACGCUAUCAUUUGCCAACAACUCCCAAAGUUUUAUCAGUGACUCAGACCUCUAACCUGAACUCCAGCUGCCUCCAUGAGAUAUCCAUUUGGAUGUUUAAUGGACAUUUCCAAAGUGAUAUGCCCUACAGAACUCAGAAUCUUCCCUCUCAAACCAACUGCUCAGCAGUCUUAUGAUCUUAGUUGAUGGCAAUUCAGAAGUGAAUUGCAGGACACCCGGUUUGUAUCUGCAGAGAGAACUGGAGAACUGCUUAGUGUGGAAAACCCACACAUUUUGUUUCAGAAGUGUGUGAGUAGAAACAGUUUUCCUUUUAUGUUUGUUGGAUGGAUAAUGAUGAACCUAGCAGGACACAGAAAGCUAGGCAGCAGUGGAACUGAGAAUGAAGUUAUAGUUAAUAGCAGAGAAUGAAAAAGAAAAGACAGAUAAAACAUUUUGAAGAAAGGACAGUAAUGUAUUCCCAACAGGUAGGAUUUACAGGAUGGAGAGAAGAGGCAAAGAUAACUACAAAAUUUCUAGCCUGAGAGACUGGUAGAAAAAAAUGGUGGUAUCAGGAACAGACAGGGGUUAUUAAGAAAAAGGAUUGGAUUUUUAAAAUAAAGAAGAUCUGGUGUAAAAUUAUCCUCAGGAAAACUGGAAAACUAGGCAUGUACUUCUCUCCAUCAUGCCCUUGCACAGUGCAGUCCUUCUGCCUGUCCAUGCCUCGCCUCCCCCUCCCUAGGAUUCCUCUUCCUCUCUUAAGACCCAUCUCAAAUAUCACCUAGACUUGUAAGUAAUUUACAUGAAACUGGAUACCUGAGGUAUCCCUUUGAAAGUUUUUAAUAACAAGUUACUGUUAUCUUUUACUAAGUCCAACUUUAUAUUCGCCAUUUUAACUAGCAUCAUUUCUGUUUCCAAGAGGUAUUUGGUGUGAAAGUGCAACUAAGUUUACUGUUAAUCAAGAUCAGAAUAAAAGAAUCUACCAAAAAAAUUAACAAGAUCCCCCUUUUAAUGCAUAAUCUUUCAUCCAUCAGGCUGUAAGUUAAAUACCUAACAUAAAAGAAAGCUGUAUGUUUUAUGGAUAUGUACAUAUAUAACUGCAGGGAAUAUGAUUUGGAAGGAUGUACACUUAGAGAAGACUGGAGUCACAAGUGGUAGUCAAGGGAGUCUUCAGAUUUCUUUUUGUAUUUCAAUUUUGACAGAAAUACAUACAUAUGUAUUAUAAUUUUAAAUUUUUAAUGAAAAAAAGUAUUUUUCCUUUUUUUUCUUGAUCUGUCACUACAUUAUAUUUUUCCAAUAUCAGCUAAACAUUUGCUUCCCAGAAAGCUUAGUUGUCUUUUCAAAAUUUAUUCAGGUUAAAAUAAAAGAUUUAGACAAUGAAUUAAAAAUCUAAGAUGGUAUUUGCCUACUUUAUACAGAACAGUACAUUGAUGCUGCUAAAGCAAUUAAAGUAUAAUUUUUCUUUUUUUUUUUUUUUUUUUUUUUGAGAUGGAGUCUCACUCUGUCACCCAGGCUGAAGUGCAGUGGUGCAAUCUCAGCUCAUUGCAACCUCUGUCUCCUGGGUUCAAGCAAUUCUCCUGCCUCAGCCUCCCCAGUAGCUGGGAUUACAGGCGUGCACCACCACGCCCAGCUAAUUUUUUUGUAUGUUUAGUAGAGACAGGGUUUCACCAUGUUGGCCAGGCUGGUCUCGAACUCCUGACCUCAAAUGAUCUGCCCGCCUCAGCCUCCCAAAGUGCUGGGAUUACAGGCAUGAGCCACCACACCCAGCCUAAAGUGUGUACUUUUUCUUAGCUCCUAUAUGCAGUGCUCCUUCCCCAUACUGAAUGUCUGAAUUUUUAUCUGAGACAUAGUAUUUCAGAUGGUCAUUACUUACGGGUGGUCAUUAAUAGUUCCUCCCUGCUUCUAACCUUCCUCUCCUCAUUUUAAAUUAAGUUACGCUACAUUAUUGUGGAUUAGAAAGUACAUUAAUAUUAAGUGAAAAAAUAUGAUCUGAUGAGUAAGUGGCAAGAGUGUUAACGUAUGAAUAUUAAGAGUUGUUCUGAGGCCUUUUUGCUUUUCUGGGGGUUCUGUGCUUGUGGUAGAACUCUUGGUUAUUUUAUAAAUAGUUCCUGAAAAGUGAGAGAGUACAGCUGGAAAUCAGAUUUCUGAUGAAUAAAUCAAACCCUAUUAAGAGAAACAGGUUCAAGUAAUUUUAAAACCAUUUGAAUUUUCAUAAAUGUUUUGUUAAUGAUUAAUUAUAAAAAAAAACAGUGACUCUAGCUGGAGGCUUUUGUGUGUUUGCUUUUGAGUCAGCUAGGAAAAGGAAGAAAAAUUCAAGCUUAGUCAAUUGUGGUUUUCACUGAAUCUUUUUUAAAGUAAUGAGCUGGUUUGUUUUCUUCAUCACUAUAGCAACUUAAGCUAGUUUUUGCUUUUGAUUUUUAUUUCUCCUAGAGAAACUUAGCAUGCACUGCUCAUUAGACUUGAGCAUACUAAGGAAUAUCUGUGGUAAUUAAGUUAAAAAUCAGAUCAGUGCUUUGUGCUGUGUAUAGUUGCAGAUGUCUGCAUUUCACUAAUAUUCUUUGGAAACAUCUGGAUACCAGUUAACAUAAAAUAACUGUUUAGUUGGUUUCUGUUCAGAAUAGAAGGAAUGACUUAAAAGUUCCCAUUGUAGUACAUACGUCAUUCUAUCCCUAGCCCUUCCUCCAGCUUUACUGAGAUUGAUAAAUAAUAAACAUCAUGGGUGGUGUGUCUUUAGUUUCCUCUGGUGAGCUGGAUGCACAGAUUACUUUGUCAGCAGGGUGGUCUUGAUUUUUAGGCCAUGUGUCUAAUGGCAUCAGCUCUGUGGCCGACACCUGUGUACCAAGCCCAUUCACUAUCUAGCUUAGCCAGCCGUGGACUCCUGCUCUUUGUUAAAAGUAUUUACCUUCAUUCCUACUAGCACAGUUGACCAAAGACCCAGUUGAUCCCAAACACUAGUAAUGCAUCAAUGGAGUCUAACAGAGUUUUAAGAUGUGUGUGUGUGUUUGGGGGUGGGGGGUGUAGAGAUGGGAUCUCACUAUUGUUGUCCAGGCUGGUCUUGCACACCUGAGCUCAAGUUCUCCUGCCUCAGCCUCCCAAUGUGCUAGGACUACAGGCAUGAGCCACCAUGCCUAACCCUCUAAGACUUUGGGAUACAAAAACAUAAUUUACUUUCCUUCAUUUCUGGAAUAAAACAUCUCUUCUUCCUCCCCCUACUUUCUGUUCUGUGCCCCUGUUUGAUCUCUGUUGGUCCUGUUCACCUUCAGCCUUCUCUGCUGAAGGAGGAAAGGCUUGGUUUUAUAAAAAGUGACAAUAUUCAGACCACAUAAGAUCCUUCUUGCUUCAUUUUGGAUUAAAUAUUUUAAGAUUUUCUGAUUUUCUUGUAUGCAUAUGUAUUUACCUAUUAUUUGACUUUAUUGAAUAACUUCAAAUUGAGUAUAUUUGAAUGGGAAUGGGCAUUAAAAAGUGCUAAGCUUUCCCUGCCUUUCAGAACUUUGUAUGUAUAUGUCACAUCAUUUUGUCCUUCACAUUCUCCAGUUGUGCUAAUUUUUCCCAAUCCAUUAAGUAGAGUACCUUCCUUUUUGGAGUCUUACUU
rnacentral:lncRNA from 10 species